AUGCCAGCUAGCAGGGGGGGACUUGAAAAAGUCCAUGGAAAUGGAAUUUCAAGUGCAGAACCCUCUUCUGGAAGGUCUUCUGUCACAGAGCCCGCGGAGGCCCCCCAGAGCUGCCUAGGCGCCCGCUAUUAUUGCCAACAAUUACCCCAGGGUCCCGCUUGGGGAGCUGCUUGCCCACCUCCACCAUCAGACUGUGACUGCUGCAGCCGGUUGCUCAUCCCGGCCAGCCCUGUGCCGUCUGGGGAACGUAGGUGGCUUCCUCUCCAUGACAGAAGCCCCUCUGCUACUGAGCAGCUGUGUGACACUGAGAGCUCCAGCAGUGGCUGAGCCACAGGCCCUGGAGAGCUGUGACAAGGGCGGCGUGACAUCACUUAGCCCACGGGAGCUCCUCGGUCUCCCACAUCCUCUGUGACUUUUGAGCAAGUGCGUGAAGUGCUCCGUGCCUCCAGUUACUGCUCUGCAAGGCGCAGACACACGAGCCCCGAUGUCCCACUGCGCCUUCAGGAGUAAACAGAUUUGCGCCACGCGGGCGCCUGGCAGUGCGGGCUGGAUACCGCGGCUGCUUCCUAGGCUGGCUCUCUGGCGGAGCCUGUUGGGCAGCGGGUGCGCCGUCAGCGUUUGGGGGCCGGCGACCUGAGAUGCCCGCAAGCCCUUUCCCACCAGAGCCCCCUUCCAGGUCUGCCCUGCUGCUGGGGUUGGCCACUGGACGUGCGCGCUUUGAAACACGAAGGGGUCUGGGAUGAAGUCUGCACAGCGUGGGACCAUAAACGGACAGCGUCUUCAGGAAUAUUUCACCUGGGGGCCAGCAUCGUGGCACAGCUGCCACUCGUGACGCCCGCACCCCCAGCCCGAGCUCUGGUUAAAUCUCAAUUGCUCUUCUUCUGAUCCAGCUCCCUGCUAAUGUGCCUGGGGAGGCAGCAGAAGGUGGCCCCAGUGCUCGGGCCCCUGCACCCACGUGGGGGGCCUGGAUGGAGUUCCUGGCCCCUGGCUUUGAGCUGGCCCAGCCCUGGCCGUUGCAGCCAUCUGGAGACUGAACCAGUGGAUGGAAGACCGACCUCUCCCUCUUUCUCUCUCUCUCUCUCUCUCUGGGUGGCUUUGCCUUUCAAAUAAAUAAAUAUGAAUACAUGAAUACA
rnacentral:lncRNA from 1 species